rnacentral:rRNA from 1 species
AACGAACGCUGGCGGCAUGCCUAACACAUGCAAGUCGAACGAGACCUUCGGGUCUAGUGGCGCACGGGUGCGUAACGCGUGGGAACCUGCCCUUAGGUUCGGAAUAACUCCCCGAAAGGGGUGCUAAUACCGGAUAAUGUCUUCGGACCAAAGAUUUAUCGCCUUUGGAUGGGCCCGCGUUGGAUUAGCUAGUUGGUAGGGUAAAAGCCUACCAAGGCGACGAUCCAUAGCUGGUCUGAGAGGAUGAUCAGCCACACUGGGACUGAGACACGGUCCAGACUCCUACGGGAGGCAGCAGUGGGGAAUAUUGGAAAAUGGGCGAAAGCCUGAUCCAGCAAUGCCGCGUGAGUGAUGAAGGCCUUAGGGUUGUAAAGCUCUUUUACCCGGGAUGAUAAUGACAGUACCGGGAGAAUAAGCUCCGGCUAACUCCGUG